UCUCUAGUAGCUCAAAUUGUGAGAGUGUAGCACUGAAGUUGCUAAGGUGAAUAAUUUAAUUCCUAGGGAC
rnacentral:tRNA from 1 species